rnacentral:rRNA from 1 species
GAUGAACGCUGGCGGCGUGCCUAAUACAUGCAAGUCGAGCGAACAGACGAGGAGCUUGCUCCUCUGACGUUAGCGGCGGACGGGUGAGUAACACGUGGAUAACCUACCUAUAAGACUGGGAUAACUUCGGGAAACCGGAGCUAAUACCGGAUAAUAUAUUGAACCGCAUGGUUCAAUAGUGAAAGACGGCUUUGCUGUCACUUAUAGAUGGAUCCGCGCCGCAUUAGCUAGUUGGUAAGGUAACGGCUUACCAAGGCAACGAUGCGUAGCCGACCUGAGAGGGUGAUCGGCCACACUGGAACUGAGACACGGUCCAGACUCCUACGGGAGGCAGCAGUAGGGAAUCUUCCGCAAUGGGCGAAAGCUUGACGGAGCAACGCCGCGUGAGUGAUGAAGGUCUUCGGAUCGUAAAACUCUGUUAUUAGGGAAGAACAAAUGUGUAAGUAACUAUGCACGUCUUGACGGUACCUAAUCAGAAAGCUACGGCUAACUACGUG